rnacentral:rRNA from 1 species
GACGAACGCUGGCGGCGUGCUUAACACAUGCAAGUGGAGCGACGAACCAGGCUUCGGCCUGGGGCAGAGCCGCGAACGGGUGAGUAACACGUGGGUAACCUGCCCUGAUGAUCGGGACAACCCGGGGAAACCCGGGCUAAUACCGAAUGUGCCCGCGAGCCGCAAGGCUUGCGAGGAAAGGAAGCUUCGGCCUCCGCAUCGGGAUGGGCCCGCGGCCCAUUAGCUUGUUGGUGGGGUAACGGCCUACCAAGGCAGCAAUGGGUAGCUGGUCUGAGAGGACGAUCAGCCACACUGGCACUGCGACACGGGCCAGACUCCUACGGGAGGCAGCAGUGAGGAAUAUUGCGCAAUAGGCGAAAGCCUGACGCAGCGACGCCGCGUGGGGGAUGAAGGUCUUCGGAUUGUAAACCCCUUUCGGGAGGGAAGACGGCCUUAGACAACUAUGGCGGACGGUACCUCCAGAAGCAGCCACGGCUAACUUCGUGCCAGCCGCCGCGGUAAC